GAGAUCGAACGUUAAAAAGCUGUCCUCGCUGAGGAGAGACAUCUAUGAGCUCCAGCGAACCUUUGUCACCAAAGGUUACCUGGUGGACAACCGCGAGCGUAGAUAGUUAUCACACUCGUGACGCCACCAAACACUGGGAGGCUGAUUCAUUUGAGAGGAGCUGACCACAGGCCAGCAAACCCCCAAGGUCCAAGCUCGUCAUGGCAAACCAUGAGAGUUGAGGUGUUCAUGAUACUCAAACAGGCAUGCCCCUCGGAAUAGCCAAGGGGCGCAAGGUGCGUUCAAAGAUUCGAUGAUUCACUGAAUUCUGCAAUUCACAUUACUUAUCGCAUUUCGCUGCGUUCUUCAUCGAUGCGAGAGCCAAGAGAUCCGUUGCUGAAAGUUGUAUUGUAUUGCGUUAGACGCGGCAUACAUUCCAUAAGACUUUAUUACGGUGUGUGUGUAAAGACAUAGAACCACAGAAGGAAGACGGGGUCCCCCAUACCGUAGAACUACAGAGGGUGCACAGGUGUGAGUGGAUGUGUAAACAGAGCGUGCACGUGUCCCCAUUUGAGGACCAGCAACAGCCCGUUUGACAAUUCAGUAAUGAUCCUUCC
rnacentral:misc_RNA from 1 species